rnacentral:rRNA from 1 species
GACGAACGCUGGCGGCGUGCUUAACACAUGCAAGUCGAACGGAAAGGCCCUGCUUGUGUGGGAUGCUCGAGUGGCGAACGGGUGUGAAACACGUGAGUAACCUGCCCUUGACUUGGGGAUAACUUCAGGAAACUGGGGAUAAUACCGGAUAGGAGCUCCUGCGGCAGGGUGGGGGUUGGAAAGUUUGGGCGGUGGGGGGUGGACUGCGGGCUUGCCAGUUGGUGGGUGGGGGACUGGCUUACCAGGGCUCUGACGGGUGGCCGGCCGGGGUGGGUGACCGGCACCAUGGGGACUGAGAUACGGCCCAAACCCCUACGGGGGGCAGAGGUGGGGAAUAUGGACCAAGGGGGGGAAGCCGGAGGCAGCAACGCGGGGGGCGGGAUGACGGCCUUCGGUUGGUAAACCGCUUUGGCAUGUGACGAGGCGUGAGUGACGGUAAUGGGUAAAGAAGCACCGGCUAACUACGUG